rfam:Triticum aestivum genome assembly, contig: Triticum_aestivum_CS42_TGACv1_scaffold_226284_3B
CAUGUACUCCUUCCGUUCGGAAUUACUUGUCUCAAAAAUGGAUGUAUCUAGAACUAAAAUACAUCUAAAUACAUUUAUUUUUAGGACAAAUAAUUCCGAACGAAAGGAGUAAAAA